GGCAGCAGAACAACGCGGAGCGACUUGCAGGUGUCGCUCCGGGAAGUCGCUCCAGGGCCGAUGGUCGCGAGCGACUUUGGUGUGUCGCUCCAACGGGUCACUCUGGAUCGGGAGCGACCUUGGUAGGUAGCUCUGAGAGGUCGCUCCAGGGUUAUCUAAAACUGUUCGGAGUAACGAGAACGCGAGCGACUUCAUGGCGUCGCUUUAGGAAGGUCGCUCUGAGAGGUGGGACACAGCGACUUCGUGAUGUCGCUCCGGGAGGUCGCUCCCAUGCUCUGAUCGUUUAAUGAUCACCUAUUUCACCUCCUUUGAGCUCCAGAUGCAUCCAAAUGUCCCCAAGAACUCCAUGUGGCACUCCAGUACCUAAUAGAGACUCAUGUAUGCAAAAUGCAACCUAAACAUGUCUAAAUCCUAAUCUCUAUGAUGAAAAUAUUUAUGAAUGAAUGGAUAAAACAAUGCAAAUAUGCAAGAUAUCAACUCCCCCAAACUUGUUCUUUUACUUGUCCACAAGUGAACUUUCUAGAACUCAUAGGGAGAGAGGUUUGAAGAUGAGAGCUCUUAGCCAAGAGAAACACAACUAGCACUCAAUUCAACAUCUAAUCCAACAUGAGCACACUCUCUUAUUACACUCUAGCUUCUCUAGGCCUAUAUCAACUCCUUUUUUUCCCUUAUACUCAUCAUCAAGCAUCCACACAUUCAAAUCAACCAACUCUCACAUUCAUUAAGCACAAGACAUCAAGUGAAUUCUUGCAAAUGGUCAGUUGGUCCAAGUCAUUUGGUUGGGUAAGGGAAGGCUUUUAGUCAAGUGAGUCCAGAGGUUCAAAAUAUAUGAUCUUUAAGGUGGUUUACUCUCAAAACAAGUAGCCUUGACAUUGCACAUAAUAUAUCUAAGAAAGGGACCAACUCAUGCAUACAAUGCUCAAUCUCCAUUGUUCUACCCUUUUCCCAAACAUACAAGUUACACAAUCAUUCCCAAAUGUCAAACCCAACUCACAUCUCUCACCAAAAGAUCCUAAGAACAUUAACUCCUUCUCUUUGAAAUUAAAUCAACAAGGGAUUUUUCACAACCUCAAAACAUUACUUAGCUCCUAACAACUUUGCUAGCCCCCUUUUUCUUUCUUUUUCUUUACUUUUCAUAUAUAAUUUCUUUUUUAUCCUAACAACUUUGCUAGCCCCCUUUUUCUUUCUUUUUUUUUUCUUUUCAUAUAUAUAUAUAUAUAUAUAUAUAUAUUUUUUUUUUAGAUGGGGGCCAAGACUUUUCAUAACUUGAGCUAGAGGUUUUUCUACUUAUCCCAAUAAGACAAUUCACUUAAACACAAAGAGUCAUUUCUUUUCCUUUUUCAUUGCUCCCAAAUCAUAAUUACAACUCUCACCCCCCACCUAUAGCUAGACAAUAGAGUGCCUAAUCUAGCAAGAAUGAAGAUCAAGCAUUGUCGUUCCCGAUACUCUCAACAUUAUGCACAUGUAAGACUUUCCGAAAAGGUCUCACUCAUCAAACAAUGAAAGCUUAAAAGGAGGGAAAGGUUUUGGGAGUGGUCUACCACUAGAUUUUGUCAAAAUAAGAUUGGCAUAAAGGAUGUGACAACUCAGGUGUGUAUAGCCAUGACUCAGUACACAAGGGACCAUGAGCAAGAAGCAUUAAGUUCGUUCAGUUCAAAUAAGCUUGUAGUUGGCUUCAAAGACUGAGUUUCAGCAACUAAUGAGAUUCAGGAAGAGUCUUAAGGCUCGAAGCAUACAAGUGUUUUUGAGGGGUGCAAAAGCUACUCAGGUGCAACGUAGUGUUCUUUACAAUGCAUUUAAAAUCAUUGCUCCCAAUGCAAGUGAAUGCAACCUAUAUGCUCUAGACUCUCCUAAAAAUGCAAGUGAUGCAAUCUAUAUGAUUUUUUUUUUGUUUUUUUGUUUUUUUGCUAAUAGGUAUGUAUGCAAGACUCAAUGAAAGAUCAUCAAAGCAAACAUGGUCAAAUAAUUGGUACCUCCCCCAAACUUAAAUGACACAGUCUCUGUGUUGUCAAGUAGAGAGAGAUACCCAAAAGAGAAAGCUAAUAUGCAAAAAUGAAAUGGUAUAUACAAGGGAAAGUAGAGAAGUACCUCAAGUGGAAAGUGGAGAAGGAGGAUCCUUCUCAAUGUAGGGGUCUCCACAAGUGAUGGUUCCACAAUACUCAACAUCCAGUGGAGGCUGAAUUGGGUAAGAGACAGCUUUGUUGACAUUGAGGAGUGUGACCUUCUUGUUGGCGAAAUCGAUGCAAGCACCCACAGUAGUAAGGAAUGGUGUGCCCAGGAUCAAUGGAACUCUCUUCUUAGUUGCCAUCUUCAAGACAGUGAGGUCUAUAGGGAUGGUGCAAGAUCCAAUCUUCAAAGGGAAAUCCUUGAUGAGACCAAUAGGGGUAGUAGAAGAAGAAUCCCCAAACGUGAGAGAGGAAGUAUCGUGCUCCAUGUGUUCAAUCUGAAGACUCUUCACCAUCUCCAUUGAGAUCACAUUCACAGUUGCACCAGAAUCAACAAGAGCAUCAUCAAAGGUGAGCUUACCAAGGGAGCAAGACAAGGUGAACUUCCCUUGGGAUUCUAGUUUAGGGAGAGACUUUGGUGUGAUGGCUGGAUCAAGUUUCAAAGUUGAAAUGUUGAGAAGCUCUGCUACUUCUGCUUGGUGGUCUACAAUGUCCUUGAUGAGCAUCAUUUGGACAUGAGCCUCACGCAUACCCGAGAUCUCUGGAAGCUUAACUCCAAUAUCACUUAAGUCUUUUCUGAACUUGGAAAUCACAUUCUUUUGAGUUUUGGUGAGGACCCUUUGUGGAAUUGGGAGCUUGUCAUAGGAUGACUGCUCAACCUCAAUGGUGUCCUCCAGCUUGACCCCUUUCAGCUUCUGGGUAGCUCUCUUCGCAACUGGUUUCUCAGCCAUGGGUGCAUCUACCUUCAAAAUCUUUACUUCAACCAUUUUGUCAGCUUCCUCCACAAUCUUUGUUUCAGCUGUUGCUACAAUCAGAUGCUGAACCUGUUCAAUCUCAGCUCCAAACACCAAUCUUUCAAUUUUAUCUACCUCUUUCUUGUGGUUACUCAAUUCAAUCCCUGAAGAAGUUGUAGAGAUGACAACAUUGCAAUACUCCUUGGGUUUUUGCUCAGAUUUUCCAGGUAGAGACCCUUGCUGGCGAUUCUGGUGAGUUGUCAUGGAAGCAAACUGGUUUUCCAAAGCCCUGAACUUGUUGUUGAGCUCAUUGUAACUUCCAUCAAUCUUGGAGUGAAGGUUCUUCAACUCAUAUCCAACCUGCUUUUCACUUCAAGUCUGAGACUCCAAGAUCUAUUUCAGUAGAACAUCAGUGCUGCUUUCCUGAGGAGUAGAGGUAGAAGGAUUAGGUUGUUGUUGAGAAGACUGGUUCCCUUUGUUGGAGAAACCAGGAGGAGGGUUUUGCUGAGGCUGAUAGUUGCCUUGCUGGUUGUUCCUAGGCGGAUAACCACUCUGUUGGUUGUUAGGAUAGGAUUUCUGUUGGUAGUUGUUGUACUGAAAGUUGGGCUCUUUCUUGUACCAGCUACCAUUGUUGUUGAUGAAACACAACUCUUCUUGCCCUUCCAAACCCUCAACUUCAUGGACAACAUGUGUUGCUUCUUGGUUUGGGUUACCAACAAAGUGCAGCUGCUCUUGUGUGGCUUUAUCAGCAAGGAGGAUGUCUAUCUUAUCCUGGAGAGCUUUGAUCUCUUUCCUCGUCUGCUUAUCAUCACCCCUACUGCCCCUGUCGUGAUCUGCACUGUAGACUGCAUCACUCUUCACCAUGUUGUCAACCAACUCUUCUGCAUCAUCUUUAGUUCUUCCUAAGAAGAACCCAUUGCUAGCUGUAUCCAAUCUGGCUCUGUACUUAGGAAGGGCACCUCUGUAGAAGGUACUGAGCAAGCUCUCCUUAGAGAAACCAUGAUGUGGGCAUUUGGUUUGAUAGCCUUUGAAUCUCUCCCAGGCUUCACUGAAUCCUUCCAAGUUCUUCUGUUGGAAACUGGAGAUCUCAUUUCUCAGCUUAACAGUUCUUGAGGAUGAGAAGAUUUUCUCCAAGAAUGCUCUCUUGCACUCAUCCCAAGUAGUGAUAGAGUCGCUGGGUAGAGACUUCUCCCACUGACGUGCCUUAUCCCCCAAAGAGAAAGGGAAUAACUUCAGCUUUAAGGCAUCCUCUGACACACCAUUGGUUUUUGACAACCCACAGUAGCUGUCGAACCUGUCCAAGUGAUCGAAUGGGUCCUCUAAAGCCAAUCCAUGAUAUUUGUUGUUCUCGAUCACAUUGAGGAUUCCGGACUUGACCUCAAAGUUGUUGGCUGCCACAGCCGGUGCUCGGAUUCCCAGUCUGUGACCAUGAAUGUUGGGCCGGUCAUAAGUACCAAUGGGUCGAGCUGCCCGCGGUUGGUGUUCUGCCCCUUGCGGUGGAUCUGCCAUAUCAAUAUCCAAUCUCUGCAAGUGGGCUUGUUGUUCGUCUUCUCUUCUAGAUCUAGCACACUUCCUCUCAAAAGCUCUGAUGUCUGCUACUAUUGGAACUAGGUUUGAUGGACCCCUGCUCCCCAAGUUCAUACACCUGAAAGUGAAAGGUAGGUAAAGAAGAAGAAUCAGUAACAAAACAAAAUUAAAAUGACUUAGUCUCAAGCAAGUGACUAAAUCUCAAUUUUUAAAUCUACUCAGAAUUUGGCAACGGCGCCAAUUUGAUGUAGGACUUUUCAAGGGUCCAAGAUCAAAUCAAUGUAGUAUAAAAGAUUGUCGAACCAGUUCUGACGGAUAUCAAAGCACUGAGAAUGCAAGUACUCACUUAAUCUAAGUGCAACCAAUUAUUUAAAAGGUUUCUAAACUAAUGAUUAAUGAUAAAUGAAAUGACUUUCUUUACUAAGGGAAAAGAGAACUCAUGGGCAUAGGGAUUAGACCUUGGGUGAUCAAGUAUCGAACUAAGGAUGGCAAAUGAUCAAUCAAACUAUCAACCUUAAGCCUAGACACAAUUCUAAGCAAGCUCUAUGUCUAGAUGAAUGCUCAUUUGCUAACAUAUCUCAAACAUCAAAUGUCUUUGGUUGAAUAAUAUGAAAGCAAUCAUUACUAACAAGUCUAUUAGCUAUCUUAGCACCUUUAACAACAAAUGUCUUUGGCAAAGUAUACUAAAAGCCUAGGAGAGUUGUCUCAGGCAUUUCAUCAAACACCUUUUUGGGUGGGAAAUGUCUAUUGAUCAACUUUUGAGUGGCCAACUCAGAAGAUGCAUUAUGAAUACUCUACUAGCAAGGAACAAGAAUGAUCUACACUAAAACAUUCUAGAACUAACCUAAUCACCCUUAAUCUCCCUAACCCAUGAAUUCAAAAAGUGAUUACUCAAUAAUCUCCAUGAUUCCUCUUAAACCCAUAUUGGAUUUCAGAUUAAUCAUGUAGAGAAAAAUAUAAGAAAUCAACAAUAACACAAGAACAUAACAAUCAAAAUCCAAGAGAUGAACUUCUCAAGAGAGUUUUUGUGUAUUUCUCAAUAGAUCCAAGAUAACCAGCCUCUGGUGGUUACCCAAAAAAAUCUUUAAAACAUAGGUUUUUCCAAGUACAAAACGUCCAAAAUAAAUUGCAAAAAGGUCCUUGAGAAAUCAUGAUUUUCGGCAGCAGAACAACGCGGAGCGACUUGCAGGUGUCGCUCCGGGAAGUUGCUCCAGGGCCGAUGGUCGCGAGCGACUUUGGUGUGUCGCUCCAACGGGUCACUCUGGAUCGGGAGCGACCUUGGUAGGUAGCUCUGAGAGGUCGCUCCAGGGUCAUCUAAGACUGUUCGGAGUAACGAGAACGCGAGCGACUUCAUGGCGUCGCUUUAGGAAGGUCGCUCUGAGAGGUGGGACACAGCGACUUCGUGAUGUCGCUCCGGGAGGUCGCUCCCAUGCUCUGAUCGUUUAAUGAUCACCUAUUUCACCUCCUUUGAGCUCCAGAUGCAUCCAAAUGUCCCCAAGAACUCCAUGUGGCACUCCA
rnacentral:lncRNA from 1 species